AACGAACGCUGGCGGCAUGCCUAACACAUGCAAGUCGAACGAUUGCCUUCGGGUGAUAGUGGCGCACGGGUGCGUAACGCGUGGGAAUCUGCCCUUAGGUUCGGAAUAACAGCUGGAAACGGCUGCUAAUACCGGAUGAUAUCGCGAGAUCAAAGAUUUAUCGCCUGAGGAUGAGCCCGCGUUGGAUUAGGUAGUUGGUGGGGUAAAGGCCUACCAAGCCGACGAUCCAUAGCUGGUCUGAGAGGAUGAUCAGCCACACUGGGACUGAGACUCGGCCCAGACUCCUACGGGAGGCAGCAGUGGGGAAUAUUGGACAAUGGGCGCAAGCCUGAUCCAGCAAUGCCGCGUGAGUGAUGAAGGCCCUAGGGUUGUAAAGCUCUUUUGCCCGAGAAGAUAAUGACUGUACCGGGAGAAUAAGCCCCGGCUAACUCCGUG
rnacentral:rRNA from 1 species